rnacentral:rRNA from 1 species
UCGAACGGUUAAAGCACCUUCGGGUGUGUAUAGAGUGGCGAACGGCUGAGUAACACGUGGGCAACCUGCCCUUUGCAUCGGGACAGCCUCGGGAAACCGUGGUUAAUACCGGAUACUCCAUCUUUCUCACAUGAAAAAGAUGGGAAAGUGUUUAGCGGCAAGGGAUGGGCCCGCGCCCUGUUAGCUUGUUGGUGGGGUAAAAGCCUACCAAGGCAAUGAUGGGUAGCCGGGUUGAGAGACCGACCGGCCAGAUUGGGACUGAGACACGGCCCAGACUCCUACGGGAGGCAGCAGUGGGGAAUCUUGCACAAUGGGCGAAAGCCUGAUGCAGCGACGCCGCGUGCGGGAUGAAGGCCUUCGGGUUGUAAACCGCUUUCAGCAGGGACGAGGCGAAAGUGACGGUACCUGUAGAAGAAGCCCCGGCUAACUACGUGCCAGCAGCCGCGGUAAUACGUAGGGGGCAAGCGUUAUCCGGAUUCAUUGGGCGUAAAGCGCGCGUAGGCUGCCCAGUAGGUCGAGAGUUAAAUCCGGGGGCUCAACCCCCGUCCGCUCCCGAUACCGCUGGGCUUCGAGUCUGGUAGGGGAAGGUGGAAUUCCCAGUGUAGCGGUGGAAUGCGCAGAUAUUGGGAAGAACACCGGUGGCGAAGGCGGCCUUCUGGGCCAUGACUGACGCUGAGGCGCGAAAGCUAGGGUAGCGAACAGGAUU